rnacentral:lncRNA from 1 species
UUUUUUUUUUUUUUUUUGUGCAAACGUACUUAGGCUUUAGUUAGUUUCCUAUUUACAUGGCUCUUUAUGAAACUGUUUUCUUUUAUUCUUUAUAUUCCUAACCUUUUAUUGUUUUUUUUUUUUUAACUCAACCUUUUAUUGUUAUUUUCUUCAAUUCUGUAUUGUAACUGUUUUGUAUAUUAAAAAAAAAAAAAAUUCCACUACUCAAUCUACUUUUUAAACAACCCACUGUCUCUGUAACUCAAAUAAAAUUAUAAAUAAAAUUAAAGAAAAUUUUCGUGUAGUAUAAAUCAAAUCUUUUGUCAAAAUUCUUUCCCAAAAUCGAGAGAAAAAAAAAAGGCUGGAGUCACAAGAACAUAAAACUCUUCUCUAAGUCCAUAGAAGUUCUUCUUUGAACGACGCCAACUAUAAACCUUUUGGUGAAUCAAGUUAUGUCCAAAACAGUCGCUCACUUAAUCUUCUAAAAUCUUUGAAGGCAAAUAUUCUCUUAUGACUUAUUUUUUCAUGUUAUUUUCGUUUAUCACCAAGACAUAAAGAAAGGAAAAAGAAAGGAACAAAAGCAAAAUGUGUUUCAUAGAACACUUCAAUAUGAGCGCUCAAUCAUGAUCGAAGUUCAGAUCAGUUUUUUUUUUGUUUUUUUUUUUUUGUAAAAUAGCUGAUGAGUCUGUAUUGAUAGGGUUAUAUAUAUUUAUGAAUCGUUUUCAUUUUUGUAAAUGCCGAUUUUUUUUAAUGAUUAUUAGUAAAAAAAUCUAACAAGAUUUUCAUAGAUAAUAUUGAAAACGAUUAUUCCUAUAUAUUAUCAUGAAAGAAAAUGAUUCUUAUACCAAAAAAAUAUAAUUAAUAAAAUAGUAAUUGUGGAAAAUAUUUAAGAUUAUUAUUUGAAAAUUAUAGAAAUAUUAACAUCAUUUUUAACCGAAAUAAAUAUUAAUAUCACUUAAAUAAACUAAUGUCAAAGUUAACAUCUUUUUUUGCAAAUGAUACAUAUUGACAUCGAUUACAAUAAUCGAUGUAAAUAUUUUGGAUAUUAAAUAAAUAAGGAAAGAAAAGUUAUAUAUUAUUAGUUAUUUAUUAUAUAUUUUUUUUGAAUUGAUUUGGAUUAGUUUGAAAGAUGAUUUUUUUUUUGGAUAAAUUUCUUUUUUUCUAAAUUGCUAAAAUAUUUAAAACGAAUUUCUUAUAAUUUUUUUAUUUAAUUUCGUUUUAAGAGAUAAUAUUUUAUCAUGAGAUUUUUAUGAAAACAAAAUUCAUUAAAUUAAAUUUAGAAAUUAGCUACAAACAAAACAAUAUAAGGAGUCUUGUAGCUAAUUAAUAAGUUUUGUAGAUAAUUAUAAAAACAUUAUUAAGAUAUAUACAAAAUCUUAAUAUUGUUUUUAUAUAUCUUUUUUUUUUAAUAUAAUUAAAAACAAAACAAGUAUACGAUUUUGAUAGAAUGUCCCUAGAAUAUAUCUCCCUAUAUAUUGAUGGUUUUACCCUCUCCACAUAUCCAUUCGACAUUGAAACAUCUCACCAUCGUCGAGGUAAAAUUUUUUUUAUAUGUGCUCUGUUAGUAUCGACAUCUCACCUUCGUUGGGUUCAAUUCUCCUUCCUAUAUUCUAUCAUAUAUAACCAAUAUAUACACCAAUCUCUCUUCAUCAUUUACAAUCAUUAAUCUCUUUUCGUCAUUUAUAAUCAUAGCACUAACAACAACAAAAAAAACGCUUUGAUCUCAGUUCAACCUUAAUCCUUGAGAACCAUAAAGAUGACGAUGGAGUACUACAAAGAAGACGAAGGGAUUCAUUUUGAUCCAACGUACGAAGAAGUCAUCCACAAGUAUCUUAAACCGAAGCUAAGAGGUGAAGACUGUGGAGACUUCAUAUUGAUGAAGGAUGUUUAUGCCAAGGAGCCAUGGCUGCUGGACCAUCCCAACAAUUCUUUUUUCAAGGAAGACGAAUGGUACUACUUCUCAACAAGGAAUCAGAUCUCCGAGAAGAAGAUUGGUCGUGGUAAGUACCCGAAGCGGAAGAUAGGCAACAACGACGGCAUCGACCGCGGGAACUGGAGGAUAAAUGCGAAAGAAGAUAUCAUUGACAAGGAUACAGGGGAUAUCAUUGGGAUCAAGAAAAACCUAACUUAUAAGGCACCAACACGAACAAGAAGCAGAAGAGAGGAGACGGUGCUUCUGCUCCAAGCAGCGAAAGCGGCUGGAUUAUGGACGAAUUUGUAAUUGUGUUACCGAAACCGGACGAAGAUAAGUUUCAGGAGCUAGUCGUCUGCAAGAUUCACAAGAAAAAGGAGUCCAAGAAGGACCAUCAACAUGAAGCUUCUUCUUCCUCAGAGCAGCAGCCGAUCAAGAAAAGGAAGUCCAAGAAGUCCAAGAAGGAGCAUGAGUCUGUUCUAGCUGCGUCUUCCGAGCAGCAGCAACCAUUAUUAUGCGGUUGUAAUGAAUCAGAGAUUCCGAAGAUAGCAUCAUCUCCUUGUUCUGCUGCGGAAACAGAGAGAAACGGGGAGCAGAGUGGAGAAGGAAACAUGGUUCACCAAACAGAGAAGAAUGCCAUGGAGAUGACACGGGAAGAAGAAGGAGAUUGGAUUGCCGAUAAUGAUAUAUUUGUAAACCGCCAAUAUCGUGAUCAACCAUACUCUUGGAUUUGAGAAUCAGUAGACAAGCCGAUGAAUCAGUAUGAAGCUCUCUACUUCACGAAAACCGUUCAACAUUCUUGAAGAGAAGAUUUUAGAUAUCGUAGUUAACUCUUCUUUUAUUUAUAAUUGUGUCGUGAGAUGAUGACUCUGCUACAGUCAAUUUGUUUAGUAAAUUUAAUGUUACGCUUUGUUUAGAAACUUUCAUGAAUAAAUCAUACCAUUCUUUUUUUUUUUUGGUUUGAUAACUGAUUGUGCAUUGAAAUGUAAAAGAGACAAGUACAGGAAGUAGAGAGGAAGCCAAGUAUACACGUAAACAUUGUAUAAGGAUAUCUUUGAAGAAGUAGGAGAGAGCUAGUGAAGAAUGUCACUGAAGCUUGGGAUAAAUAUGUUCACCGUGAAGAAUGUCACCGAAGAAUUCUUCACAUUAAAACCAAAAAAAUGUCACCGAAGAAUCUUGGGAAAUAUGUUCCCAGUACGAAGUCUGCAUCUAUUGCCCACAAACUUUGACUAUUCCACUUCCCUCAAAAACCUACAAUAUAAGGACAACCAUCUGAAUAAACCUAUUUACUUGAAAGUGCUAUAGUUUCAAACAUUUCUUUCUGAAUUUCUCCGCCUUUUGUACCAUACUGUAUAUAUUGUGUCUAUCCAUUGAAAAAGGUAAGCAUUUGCUGAAUUUUACGUAUUCAAACCGCAACUGAUCCGCACAGAACUCACUUGUAAUUGUUACAAGUAGAGCUUUCCUGUCUUGUGGUGUUCUUGUUAAUGUUUAAUGACUGAAAAGUCUGAAAUAAAUACAUUUCUUCUGCUUUUGCUACCGUUGAGAAUCUAUGCUCUUUGUGCCAAGUCAAACUAUUGCAUCUUAUCGAAGAGAGGUAAUUGCAGAGCAGAGUAGGUCAGAGAAGUUACAUGGUCAUCUGCAGGAGACUUCGACUUAAACAAAGAAGAAAAAGAAGCAAGCUAAUUCAUUAUUUACUUAUAUAUACAGUUAUACACAUAAUUUAAAACAGUGCCCUCUCAUCAUCAUUGAGCAAGUCAAAGAAGUUAAAACUACAUGCAACUAGCAUUUCUUGAUUUAUAAUAUGUUUUAUAAAAACUUUUUCAAACUACUAUUCCAAAGCUGAGAAAAAAGAGAUAUGUGCACGUAUGUAAAAUAACCUAGUUUAAAGAUAGAAUUUCCAAACUGAAAACAUUUGACCCUGACUAAUUAAAACCUCAUUUAACCACAGCUUCUCAUAAUGUCAAUAUAUGAAAGUCAGCUUAGUUACGUUUUUGAGUAGAUUUCAUUACUGCAUUUGCCACAAACAUGGUAGAUAUACUCAUUGAAGGUGAUUAGGUGAAAACAAAUCAGAUUACAGCUUAAACCUUCUGUCUCAUGUAUAUUCCAUCAGCUAGACAGUAACAAGCAAAGAUGCAGAACAAUAAAAGCACAGAGCAUUGUAACCAAAACUUGACUUGAUGAUAAGACUACCAAAGUAAUUAACCCACAAAACUGUAAGAAAUAAUGAUGACAUAGGCACUCAUCUAUUACCAAUUCAAUAGGAAAGAAUCUUUAUUGGCUUUUCUUUGAUAGUGUCUUCCAUGUAAAGGUCAACUCAGGGUAAUCAGUAGUUGGAAAACAUAAUUCUCAUGGAAAAGAAAAAAAUAGUGCAGAAGAAUCUGAGAUUCACAACAAGCUAAGGCGGGAGAGACGAUCAUUGUUAUUCCAGAUGGCUGGGGUUCUAGAAUCUUUUUUCUGGAUAAUAAUUUGUAUCCAUGUGGUGUCUUUGGUGCUAGCUCAGGAUAGGGAUCAGUUUCUGCACUACAACUUCAGUCAAGCAGACCUGCAUCUUGACGGCAUGGCAAAUAUCGAUGAUGGCCGAUUGCAUCUUACAAAUAAUACAACUAAGAGCACUGGUCAUGCGUUCAACAAAACCCCUAUGCAGUUCACAGCGUCAUCUUCCUUUUCAACAGAAUUUGUCUUUGCAAUGUUGCCAUUGCAAGGCGACGGUCAAGGAAUGGCUUUCGUAGUAUCUCCUACCAAAGACCUCAGGUAUGCCGGCGCUGCAACUUCAGAUUUAGGGAUUUUCAAUAAAACAAAUGAUAACAAAACUGAAAACCAUAUUCUUGCUAUAGAGCUUGACACUAAUGAUAGCUCUGAGUCAUUUGACAAAAGCGGUAACCAUGUGGGGAUUGAUAUAAACAGUAUAGUCUCAGUUGAAUAUGCGAACGCUAGUUACUUUAAUGAUACUCAGGGAAAGAAUAUAACUCUGUCGCUUGCUAGUGGUAAAAGUAUUCUGAUCUGGAUAGAUUAUGAUGGAAUAAAGAAACUACUCAAUGUAACGUUAGCUCCAGUACCAACUCCAAAGCCAGUUUCGCCUCUCUUUUCAAGAUCCAUCAAACCAAGGGUGCCACUCUUGUCAAGAUCCAUCAAUCUUUCAGAAAUUUUCAAUGAGACAAUGUAUGUAGGUUUCUCAGGAUCUACAGGCACAGUCAAAAGUGACCAAUAUAUCCUUGGAUGGAGUUUCAAGAAAGGUGGACAAGCAGAAAGCCUUGACAUCUCAAAGAUUUUGGAUCCACCUAAUCGACCUCCACCACCCCUUCCGCCAACCUCGAGGUCUAAAGACUCUAAGAAUAUUAUAAUCAUAAGCGUUACUGUAACAUCAAUUGCUUUUCUGUUGAUCUUGGGAGGAAUUUUGUAUUUUUACAAAAACAAGAAGUAUGCGGAGGUGCUUGAACAAUGGGAAAAUGAAUAUAGUCCCCAAAGGUUCUCCUUUAAGAACCUCUACAAAGCAACAAGGGGUUUCAGGGAGAAUCGGCUACUUGGGGCAGGAGGUUUUGGAAAAGUCUAUAAAGGAGAACUUCCUUCAGGUACACAAAUUGCGGUUAAGAGAGUCUAUCAUGAUGCAGAACAAGGAAUGACACAGUAUGUCGCAGAGAUCGCUAGUAUGGGAAGGCUAAGGCACAAGAACUUGGUGCAGCUUCUUGGUUACUGCAGAAGGAAAGGUGAAUUGCUUUUGGUCUAUGACUACAUGCCAAACGGAAGCCUUGAUGACUACUUGUUCAAUAGAAACAAGCUCAAGGACCUCAGUUGGUCUCAGAGACUGAAUAUAAUCAAGGGAGUAGCCUCUGCCCUUCUGUAUCUUCAUGAAGAAUGGGAACAAGUUGUACUACAUCGAGAUAUAAAAGCUAGCAACAUUCUUUUAGAUGCGGAUCUAAAUGGAAGGUUGGGAGAUUUCGGGCUUGCAAGAUUCCACGAUCGUGGCGAGAAUCUUCAAGCAACGCGUGUGGUAGGAACCAUUGGCUACAUGGCACCAGAGCUUACAGCAAUGGGAGUGGCCACUACUAAAACUGAUGUCUAUGCUUUUGGAUCUUUCAUCCUUGAGGUGGUUUGCGGGAGAAGGCCAGUAGAACCUGAUAGACCACCUGAGCAGAUGCUUUUACUUAAGUGGGUUGCCACUUGUGGGAGAAGAGAUACUUUGAUGGAUAUUGUUGACAGUAAACUAGGAGACUUUAAAGCUGAGGAAGCCAAGCUGCUUCUAAAGCUAGGUAUGCUUUGUUCACAGAGUAACCCGGAAAGUAGACCUAGUAUGAGGGACGUAAUAAAAUAUCUGGAAGGAAAUGCCACUAUUCCAAGCAUAUCAUUUGAUACAGCUGGAUUUGGUAUGCCCAAUAUAAGCAAUGAAACGAUAACACAAAUGACAACCACCUCCUCAUCAGCCAAUUUCUCUUUUGAAGAUGUUACAAUCCUAUUUGGCGGUCGUUGAAGUCUGCAUCACAAGCUGCUAAACUUACAAGAAAGCUAUUUGUUAUUGCUACAAUGUUGUGUCUUUCAAGUGAAUGAUUGUAUAUGGAAUUUUCUUUCUUUUUAUGCUAAAACCAUUGUGCCUUUUGAUGUAAAUGAUUGUAUCGUGAUGUGUUGUUGUUCGCAAACUGUGCAAGCGUACUGACAUGUCUACUGUUCCAAUAUAGCUACUCGAAAAUGUGAACAGCAAUAUGACAGAAGCCCAGGUUUGAACCCAGACACCACUUGUGUCCAAGAUCACUUGGCUAAAUAUGUUCACAAUACAAAGUUGCAUCUGGUUCUCACAAAAAUUAAAUAUUCCACCUUCCUCACACAUAUAUAUAUAUACACAUAAUUUAAAACAAUGCCAUCAUCAAUGAGAAAGUCAAAGAUGUUAAACUACAUGCCACUAGCAUUUCUUGAUUUAGAAUAUGUUUUAAUAAUAACGUGUUCUAACCACUAUCCUAUUUCUGAGAAUAAGAGACAUUUGCACGUAUGUAGGAUAACCUAAUUUAACAUAGAAUAUCCAAAAUGAAAACAUAUGACCCUGACUAGUUCAAACUUCAUUUAACCAUGCUUUGUCAUAUAUAUCAACAUAUGAAACUCAACUUAGUGUUUAAGGAAAUAAGUGCAGAUUUAUUUACUUCAUCUUGCCACAAACAUCGGUAUAUAUAUAUAUAUACUCAUUCUAGUGAAAACAAAUCAGUCAAAGCUGAAACAUUCUGUCUCGUGUAUAUAUUACAUCAGCUAGAAAGUAACAAGCAAAGAUGCAGAAAAAUAAAAGCCAUAGAAUUGUACCCAUGACUUGUUGUCUUGAGGAUAAGAAGACUACCAAAGUAAUUAACCCACAAAACUGUAAGAAACAUCUACAUGAUGACAUAGGCACUGAUCUAUUACCAAUUCAAAAUGAAAGAAACUUUCUUGCCUUUUCUUUGAUAGUGUCUUCCAAAUGUCAACUCAGGGUUUUCUGCAGUCAAAAAACACAAUUCUCAUGGAAAUGAAAAAAAGGUGCAGAAGAAUCUGAGAUUUACAAGCUAAGGUGGGAGAGAAGAUCAUCCUUGUUCCUGAUGGCUGGAGUUCUAGGAUCAGUGGGUUUCUGGAUGAUUAUUGGUAUCCAUGUAACCUUUUUGGUGUUCGCUCAAGAGGGAGAUCAAUUUUUGUACUAUAACUUCAAGAAUGCAAACCUGAAACUUGAUGGAAUGGCAAAUACCAACGAUGGUCCAUUGCAUCUAACAAAUAAUACAAACACAAGCACCGGUCACGCUUUCUACAAUAUUCCCAUCAAGUUCCCAGCGUCUUCCCUCAGUUCAUUUUCCUUUUCAACAGAAUUUGUCUUUGCAAUCUUCCCACUGCAAACCUAUGCCUACGGUCACGGCAUGGCUUUUGUGGUAUCUCCUACCAAAGACCUCGGGUCAAACGGUACUGAAAAUUCAUAUUUAGGGCUUUUCAACAAAACAAAUGAUAACAACACUACAAACCAUAUCUUUGCUGUAGAACUUGACACUCAUAAAAGCCCUGAGCAAUCAGACAAAAGCGAUAACCAAGUGGGUAUUGAUAUUUACACUACAGACUCAUUUAAAUCUGCAGAGGCUAGUUACUUUAAUGCUACAGAAGGAAAGAACGAAAGCCUGCUGCUUGCUAGUGGAAAAAGUAUUCUGAUCUGGAUAGAUUAUGAUGGAAUAGAGCAAUUACUAAAUGUAACGUUAGCUCCAGUACCAACUUCAAAGCCAGUUUCGCCUCUCUUUUCAAGUUCCAUCAAACCAAGGGUGCCACUCUUGUCAACAUCCAUCAAUCUUUCAGAAAUUUUCAAUGAGACGAUGUAUGUAGGUUUUUCUGGUUCUACAGGUACAAUCAAAAGUAACCAGUAUAUCCUAGGGUGGAGUUUCAAGAAAGGCGGAGAACCGAAAAGCCUUGACAUUUCAAGAAUUUCGGAUCCUCCACCACCAUCUUCUCCGCCACCAACCUCUCCACCACAAUCUUCUCCACCACCACCCUCUCCUCCACCAUCUUCUCUAUCAAGACUGCCAUUAGUGAUUCUAGGCACUAUUAUUAUUAUACCAACAAUUGUUUUUUUUCUAAUAAUAUUGGGAGGAAUUUUGUAUCUGUACAAGAAAAAGAAGUAUGCGGAGGUGCUUGAACAAUGGGAAAAGGAAUAUAGUCCCCAAAGGUACUCCUUUAGGAACCUGUACAAAGCAACCAAAGGUUUCAGGGAGAAUCAGCUGCUUGGAGCAGGAGGGUUUGGAAAAGUCUAUAAAGGAAUACUUCCCAGUGGUACACAAAUCGCAGUUAAGAAAGUCUACCAUGAUGCAGAACAAGGAAUGAAACAGUAUGUGGCAGAGAUAGCUAGUAUGGGAAGGCUAAGGCACAAAAACUUGGUGCAGCUCCUUGGUUACUGCAGAAGGAAAGGUGAAUUGCUCUUGGUCUAUGAUUACAUGCCAAAUGGAAGCCUUGAUGACUACUUGUUCAAUAAAAACAAGCUGAAAGACCUCACUUGGUCACAGAGAGUAAAUAUAAUCAAGGGAGUUGCAUCUGCCCUUCUAUAUCUGCAUGAAGAGUGGGAACAAGUUGUGUUACAUAGAGAUAUAAAAGCCAGCAACAUUCUUUUAGAUGCCGAUCUAAAUGGAAAGUUGGGAGACUUUGGGUUAGCCAGAUUCCACGAUCGUGGUGUCAAUCUUGAAGCCACACGAGUGGUAGGAACCAUUGGUUACAUGGCACCAGAGCUUACUGCAAUGGGAGUAACCACUACUUGGACCGAUGUCUAUGCUUUUGGAGCUUUCAUCCUUGAAGUUGUAUGUGGGAGGAGGCCAGUAGACCCUGAUGCACCACGUGAGCAAAUGAUUUUGGUUAAGUGGGUUGCGAGUUGCGGGAGAAGAGAUGCUUUAACUGAUACUGUUGACAGCAAACUAAUAGGCUAUGAAGUUGGGGAGGUCAAGCUGCUUUUGAAGCUAGGGAUGCUCUGUUCACAAAGUAACCCAGAAAACAGACCCAGUAUGAGACAGAUAUUACAAUAUCUGGAAGGAAAUGUAAGUGUUCCAGCUAUAUCAUUUGAUACUGUUGCACUUGGUAUACCCAAUAUAAGCCAUGAAACAGUAACACAGAUGACAACAACCUCUUCAUCAGCUAAUUUCUCAUUUGAGGAUGUUACAGUCCUAUUUGGUGGUCGCUAGAGCAUGCAACACAAGCUGCUUUAACUACAAGAAAGUACUUUCUACUAUAUUUAAGUGUGUUUUGGUGUGAAUGAUUGUGUUUUAGUGUGAAUGAUUGCCUAUAUGAUGGGAUGUUUGCAAAUCUAUUGCUGCAGUAAACUACUUUCUUUUGUAUAUAAUUUCAGGGAAAUUGGCUAUAAAAACACAUUUCUUUAUAUUCCCUUGAUGCCAUAUGAACCCUAACGACUUAUUGUUUAACCAAGAAAAUUUCACUUCAGUUGGUCUUAAAAGUUUAACAUCAUAAAGGGGUUGGCUAGGUGUGUCAAACUAGAUUGGAAGGAUUCUAUCUAUGAAUAUGAUACUGAAGCUUGGGCUACUCUGUUUGCGGUAGAAGCCAGAGGACAUACCUUAUCUUGAAGGAAAUGAUAAUAUAUUUCCUGAAAGACUGCAUCUAGUUACCCCCACAUGCUUUCCCCAAGAACCUACAAAAUCAGCAAAAACAUUGACAUAAACCUUACCUGGAUAUUAGUGGAAGAAUGCAUACAUACAUACAUACAUACAUAGGUCGAAGAACAGAAGGUAUGUGCUUAUGUUACCAAAUCAACUCUUCAUUCCUAUGCUUGGUCCACCUAUUCAGGCAGGUUAAUCUGAGCAGAAGGAUGUUUUAUCAUUUUUCAUUAAUCAAAUAAAACAGACCAUAGAUGGAGUAACUUAGAACAGAGAGAGGGAAAUGCCGACAUAAGCUUGGGGAAAACCUUAAUGCUUACCUCCCGGUUUUUGUCGUUUGCAUCCCCAACCAAAAAUAUCUAAUUACUGCUCGAAUAAUCAUGAAAAGGUAUGGUUUUCCCAUAGAGUAUGAAAUAUGUUAUGUUACAAAGAGAAUAGUUAAAUCAAUAUACAUGAAUUUCACCAGAAUUAACUAUAACAAACAUGUUUUUUCAACAUUUCACUUCAAAAUUUUUGAUUCAAUUUCUUCCAAGCUGAGACCCUUGGUUUCUGGAACUACUAGUAUCACAAACAGCAGUGAUACUAGUGCUAUGCCCCCAAAGAGAAGGAAAAGAUUCUCGGCUCCAAGAAAUUCCUACAGAGAAUGCAUAUUUUGAUAGUGUUAGUAAUAACUUCAAGGGAAUUUGAACCAGUGGGAACGGAAAAAAAUACCUUUAAGGGUGAAAAUGCAAAGGUCACAAUAGCAUUGGAGCCAAAGUUUGUAAGAACAGCAAGACUGAUCCCUCUCCCUCUUGUGCGAAGCGGGAAAAUCUCUGACACCAUUAGCCAGCUGAUGGGUCCAAAUGAGAUCUGGUUCGUAGGAAAUAAAAACAGAGAGGGAAAUACUUUUUAGUGAAUAUUGCUAAGACUUUAGUGAUAAAACUAUGUAGCUACAGCUAACAGUGAGCUACAGUACAAACCUGGUAACAACCAACAUAGAGAAGCAGUGCACCAACGGCGACAAGGGGAAAGCCUCCGAGAAACUUGUAGUAUGCUGACAGUAGAAACAAGGACAACGCCUGGAAUUUGGAAGAAAUAUAAGAAAUGAUAUUUUUAUAUGCAAAACAAGAAACAGAAGAUAUAGACAUAAAAAUGGAUUCAUACAAUGCCGCUGACACCUCCAAUCAGUAAAGGUCGUCUGCCGAGAUCAUCAACUUUCGCAACAGCUACCCAUGUCAUCAGUAACUUCGUUGAGCGUUAUCAAUUGAAGAGGUCAGUAUUGAAUAACUAGAAGCUUGGUAGCAAAUAAGAUAUUUACACAUCCUAAAAGAAAAGAAAUGAGCACCUUGAAAACACCAAUAAUAACAGAGACUCGAGUUGCAUCAGCAGCAGCAGAGAAUCCAGCAGUCUUUGAAUAGAUAAGCGAGCAUAAAGCCUCAUUAAACAUCCGACUAAGGCAGUAAAAAUUAGUAGGUAAUCUCAUUCACUUCAAUGUUAAGGCAAGCAUACCUGAAGAAUCGAACCCGCAUAAUAAAGAACACUAGGCUGUCCAGUUAUCUGGCACAGCGAAGCAGAGUGUAAAUUAUUUCAAAAAUGCUCACACAUUCAUCCAAAUGGAAACAGCGAAGAAGAAUCACCUGUUGGAAGAGGACUAAACCUCCGCCAAUUGUCAAAGCUUUCAAAUUAGGCCCUUGGAAUACUUCCAGGAAGUUUCCCCCAGAUUUCUCAUCUUCAUAGGCCGUUUUCACAGAUAAAUAGGCAUCAUCUACUAACUUCUCCGAAAUUUUAUCACCUGGAGGUCUGCCACGUAAUUUGCUGAGGGCAAGCAUGGCCUUCUCUUUGUACUCUUGUAAUUGCCCUUUACCUUGGACAGCUCUAAGCAGCAACCAGCGAGGAGAUGCAGGGAGACUCCACAUGCCUAGUCCCAUCAGCAAAGCAACAGGCGUACCAAAUCCAUACAUGUAACGCCACCCUCCAACUACAUCAAUCUGGAAGCUUCCAACAGAAAAACCCAACUGCACAAGAAGGAAAUCAAGAUUAUUCAGUAAAAGUAUUACGCAGAAAUCAUACAGGGAAGAGAUUGACAUCGACAUUUACCAAAAUUCCCAAUACGAUGAAGAGUUCUUUCAGAGAUAUCAAAGUUCCACGGAUUUGAGAUGGGCAUGUCUCAGCAAUAUAGAGGGGAGCCCCAUGCAUUGCCUAUCAAGCAAAACCAAUUUACGUUAAACACUAAACAACAACAAAAGUAACAAAGAAAUUACCAUAAGGAUUCAGGGUUUCCAGGGCUCACCAAACCAAUACCAAAGCCAUAAAGAAGCCUUCCAACUAAGAGAAUAUUAAGAUCAGGGGCACAGCCAGUAAUCAGAGACCCGAGGAGAUAGAGAACAGCAGCUAUAAUAAGUUCCCGCCUUCUUCCUUCAUAAAGAUGGGAAGAAAACCAGAAUGAGACACUUGCAACCAGUUAAGAAGAACGAGACUCAAACAAAAAAACAAGACUUACCAAGGAAAUCAGCAACGCCAUAGACAGAAAUUGAGCCAAGAAGGGCUCCAUAUAAUGAUCCGCUAACCUACAUAAUAAAAUGCAGUAAAAACUAUCAUUUUCUGCUAACUCUACCGCUUAAAUAUAGAAAAAUAUCUCCAAGCAACAUACCACAAGUCCUAGCUGAACAGGUGAGAAGUUAAACCAUGUAGUUCCGCUAAGCACAGGUGACUGUUCAAGACCAUAUGAGACAGCACAUAAUGUUAAGUUUGGAGGCUAAUAUGUAAGUAGAUAAAAGCAGAGGAUUUAGAUAACCUGAAGUGAGAGCGUAGCACCGGAGGUGGCCCCAAUGUCAUACCCGAACAAUAGUCCUCCCAAAGCCGGGAAGAUAAACCUACGAUUCAAGUACAUUACUAUUAAAUCAUUGCAAUGCGAAGAUCAAUCUAGCCAAAGAAAUUCAUUAGGCAAGAUCAUUACAGAGGCAAUCCAAACACAUCACUCAGAAAAUUGACAAAUCUAGAACAGUUAAUUGAAAUAACGAGACGGAUCAAUACGUACGGGAGUAUCACGGAAGACCAAGAAAAUGACUCUAAUGCAUCAGAAGCAAUCGAAUCAGCUACUUCUCCACCGUCGGCUAACUCUCCUCCCGUCCCAGCUCCGACCUAACCAUGAACCAAAACCGGAAAAAAUCAAAACUUUUGAAACUUUUUUAGAAGAAAUCAAAAUCCAGAAAAUUGCUUCUCACCUGGAAUUUAGCUCUGUAUCUAGUAGUGACUAAACCCAGCUUGGAAACCAAGCAAGUACGUUCCUUUAAACUUAGGUAAGACGAGUCAGACCUCGAUUUAAAACACGAGCAGGAAGUACGCGGAGAUGGGUUCUUCUUGAACUGGUCUCGUUUUAAGUCUCUGAUUGCGAAAUGUGACUGAACCGAGACAGCGAAAGCCAUGAUCGGAUCGGAGUGAAACAACUGAGGAUUCUCCCGCUAAUUUUGGUCUAAAAUAUCUCUCAUCCUCUAGAGAUUUUGACUCUUUGAUAAUUAUUAUUUUUCAAAAUUGAUUCUUUCAUUAAUGUGUGGUUGUAUUUGAAGCAAGGACACGAUUGUAAAUUGACGUUUUAGGGUUUUUUGUUUGUGUUUGGGAGAGUAAACUAUUUAUACCUCUAUGUCUCUAUCAUUUUCUCUACCGCCAUUCUUAAACCUCUGAAGCUCGUGAGAACAAAAAGCUUGAAUCAAACGCUUUUGAAAUCAUGGGUAUUUUUUUUCAAUUCCGCUUCUUUCUCGUUCUAUUUCUUACAAAGAUGUAACUUUUAUAGCAUCAACGUUGAUUCUCUGUUUUGCAGGUAUCUCUCGUGAUUCAAUUCACAAGAGACGUGCCACUGGUGGUAAGCAGAAGAUGUGGAGAAAGAAGAGAAAGUAAGCUUUUUUUAUCUUCCACUGCUUCAAUUUUGAUAAUUUCCUCUGAAUUAGAGCUUAGAUUGGAAUCAAAAUGUAUCAUGAUCUUGUCUUGUUCUUUGAUUUUGGUUGAAGCAAAAUUGAUCACUGAAACUAACUUUGGUUAUCUGUUAUAAAGGUAUGAGCUUGGAAGACAACCAGCUAACACUAAGCUGUCAAGUAACAAGACAGUGAGGAGGAUCCGUGUGCGUGGUGGGAAUGUAAAGUGGAGAGCUUUGAGGCUCGAUACUGGAAACUUCUCGUGGGGAAGUGAAGCUGUGACCCGUAAGACUAGGAUCUUGGAUGUGGCUUACAAUGCAUCAAACAAUGAGCUUGUUCGUACACAAACUCUUGUGAAGAGUGCUAUUGUUCUAGUUGAUGCCGCUCCCUUUAAACAAGGGUAUCUCCAACACUAUGGAGUUGAUAUUGGUCGCAAGAAGAAAGCUGCUGCAGCCAAGAAAGAAGGAGAGGUGUGGUUUCUUUGAUGAUGAUUACUUGUUGACUGUACUUUUUUGAUAAACCGAUUCUGAUUUAUUUGUCUGUAUAGGAAGGAGAUGCAGUAACCACUGAGGAAGUAAAGAAGAGCAAUCAUAUUCAAAGGAAGCUGGAGAUGCGACAAGAAGGCCGAGCACUUGACUCGCACCUUGAAGAGCAGUUUAGCAGUGGAAGGUUGCUUGCAUGUAUCGCAUCAAGACCCGGACAAAGUGGCCGUGCUGAUGGGUAAAGAACAAAAUAUUUUGGUUUGAAAUCAUCACAUCUUGUUUUCUCUGAGUUAAUGCUGAUCCUUGUUGUGGUGUAAUUCGAAACAGGUACAUAUUGGAAGGAAAAGAGCUCGAAUUCUACAUGAAGAAACUUCAAAAAAAGAAGGGCAAGAAUGCUGGUGCUGCAUAAGAAACAAACACAUUUUUUAUUCUAGUAACUUAACGUUUUUGAUCUUGAUAGUUGAAAAGCCUUAUUUAUUCUUUUGUUGAGUUUAGAGUUUGCAUUGAGAGAUCUUCAUGUUUAUGGAUAUUGAUCAUUUAUAGUCAAAUUUCGCAAAUUCCAUUGAAUAAUCCCUUGGAAAGAGGUAUUAUUAUUGAAACAAAUCCAAAAUAUCUUCUGCAUAAUCAGAAGUGAGUAAAGCUAGUUGCAUCUUCUAGAAGUUGAAAUCUCCUGUGGCCUGCAUAAAAUAAGAGGAUGCGUGAGCCAAAGUGAAAUCUGAACAAUUUCUGUUAUUGUGAAGAAGUUUGUCUCAAACCUGUGAGAAAAGAACAUUUUUGCCGUUUAUCUGCAUAACUCCCGCAUUGAAUUUGCACUCCCACUUGUUCUUGCAACGCUUCACCUGCAAGUAGUUGGAAGUAUAAGUUUGAAGUUCAUCAUCAUUGUUAGUACUUUGUUCCAAUGAAAAACUAUAGUCAUUACCUUGUCAAAUUGACACAUGACCAAAUGUGGAAUGUUCGUAUCAUCAUCAUCCAUAUCAUCUUCCUCAUCAUCAUCGUCCUCGUUCAAAAGCUCUUCAUUCUCAUCUACAUCUUGACCAUUCACACAAGUGAGAAACCAGAACAGCAUUAAUAAAACUGUAGCAUUUUAUUCAAAUCUGAAAAUCACCAUUAGGAGCAUAAGUGACCAUAGCUUCAUCUCUAGCUCCAUCUUGCUGAGGAAUAUAAAAUUCGUCACACUCUUUCUUUAUGGACAUCUUCUCAGGUAAAGGAAUUGCAUCCCGCGGAGUCUGAAGAGUCGCCUGCAAUAUCGGAGGUGCGGAAAUCGCAACAGCAGAUGUUUCGAUUGUUCCGGUUAUGACUCCGGCUUGUAUCAUCUUCGUUUUCCACUUCUAUAGACACAUAAAGUUCUCAAUCAGUUUCAAAAAAUCCCCUGCAUCCUCCUAAAACCCUAAAUUACAAAGGAGAACUAACCGAUUGAAUCUGGCUAAGAACACUCUCUUCAAGUUCUCCAUUGUAGACGAGCUCGCAUCGAGACUUGUUGAUAACGUCAUCGAUGACAUAGUUGUAAGAGGUGCUAGUGUCGCUAGUCGAUAACACCAUCGUGAGACGAUUCAAAGAAAACCUACAAAGAGAAGCACAAAUAUUAAUCAAAAUCAGAUACAAUCUGGGGAUAAACAACAGCCAGCGAAAGCGUUCUAAAACCUAAUUGAGAGUAUAAAUACAAUUCACUCAAGGUGAUGUGAGUUUCGGGUUUUCUUUGAAACCCUAAUUGAGAGUUAUAAUUACCGUUCGCCGGAGAAAGUGAAUCAGAGCUUAAUUGGAAGAUUGGGAGAGACGACGAAGAAGAAGAAGAAAUCGUGAAGCGGGCUAUGCCAUAUAGGGAGGGGUAUUUAUAGAGGUUUAUAACCCGACCCGAAACUAAAUUAGUUCUUCCGGGUCCAAUUUCUCAACCCGAAAAAAGGAAAUAACACGCUGCUUAUUGACGAAAAUACCCUCUUUAAGCUUAAGUUAUUACGUGAGAAAGCCCUUUCCAAAUUCCAACACCGACUCAACAUAGGAUGCAAUCUCAGCCGUCCGUUUCAAUCUUAUUGUCAUUGGGUGUAAGUUGUUUUGGGCUGAGAUUAGCAAUGACUGGCCCAGUAAAAGUGUCAUGUGACAAAACUUGGACUUUGGGCCAAUACAAUAAAAAUUAGGGACGCAAUAAACAACGUCGUUUUAGGUUUUUCUAAAAUUUAGUCUUUUUCCUAACAUUAAAACUCCAAUACCAUGGGUUCAUCAACUUUUUUUUAUUAGGAUUUUGACUCAUAAUUUUCUCCAGUCGAGGACUAGCGUACAUAAAUUUAGUCUUUUUCCUAACAUUAUAACUCGACCUAGUAACCUUCAAACACAUUUCUUUAAUUUGGAAUUUUGGAUAGUUUUCCAGAAAAACAACUAGCUCUAAUUAAGACAGAGCAGUGUUUACCAGUUUAAGAUCAGGAGUCAGGACUGGAGUAAUAGAUACCACUACCAGGCAACUUUUUAAACAAACAACACUUACGAAAACUAUAAUAAUACUACAUUAUAAAUGAUUUAUAAGAAAUAUUUUACAAAAGUUUCUUAUCAAAAAAAAAUAUUUUACAAAAGUUAUCGUAGAUCGCUAGACCAAAUGCUUAUCACGACACGAAUCAUAUACUUUUGGGUUCUUAAGCAUAUAUAUAAAAUCUAGAAAAGUUUGAUUUGUAUAUAUCACCGAUAGACAUGUGUCGUUUGUGUCGUGACGGAAGGCAUGAGCGAUUAAACUUUUUGGUAGAGAAGAAAUUGGAAUUUUUCUGUUUUUUUGGUUUUUUGUCCCUUUAAUUACUCUUCUUUUUCCUAUUUUUCCCCAGACAGUCGUCAAUUCAAAUUAUAAAAUGUUUCUAAAUAGUUUUGCAAAAUGUCGGGUUUGAUAAACACGUGGUGAUCUAUAAAGAUGGCAUCUUUAAACAUUGAUUGAGGACAGUUUAUAUCUUUAAUCAAGCUAAUUGACAUAAAUUAGUAGUAUAAUAUAAUGGCGUAUUAGAUCAGAUGAGCAACCUCACCAAACUCAACGGUCAAAUUUCCCAUGCCAUAUUGCUUGCAUCUGAAAGAUAUAAAAUUCACCAUACUAUAUUUUUUUAAUGUACGAGGUUAGGAGAAAUACUCAACGACUUUGUUUGAAUCGGUUUAGCCAAACCACAACAAUCAUUUUCUCAAAACAUUUAGCGUAUAAAACAAAUAUUCAUAUGUAUUCAUAUAUAACAAAACAAAUAUUCAUAUAUACUACUCUUAUAUAUUUUAAAUAUUAGGAUUUGUAGCUUAGUGUUUGUAUUGUAUGGUCGUCAUGGAUUCAAAUCCAAUAAUAUAAAGUGUAGUUGACAGAAAAAUAUGCAUAUCUAUUAGAACAAAAGAACAAAACUCGACUGUAUAUAUAAAAUUCGGUGUGCCUAGUGUUUUUACAACUUUUAUAACCAGAUUAUCAAAAUUUGAUAGUUUUGAUCAUUUAUAAUAUCAUUUUAGAUCAUUAGGUUAAGAACUUCGUCUGAAUUUUCCUUUUGAAAAAGUAAAAGAGGUUGGUGCCAACUUGACGAAUGUCGACUAAGUAACAGUAAAAUUCAAAGACUACGCAAUCUGCCGGCCAUGCAGGCUCAGGGAAAAAAUCUGCCCCGGGAAAACACGUGUCGGAAUCAAAUUUGCCAAGUAAGUAUUGAAGCUUCUCCAUAGGUAACUGCGACCCAACGACCUUUAACCGCAACGUGGGGCUUGUGUCCGACACGCGUCUCCUUAGGCCUCAAAACUAGACUUUAGACCUAAACCUUAUUUAAGUCUGAUGGACAAUGAUGACACAUCAUUGGUUUUCUCGUAAUUGCCGAACUUUCUUUCAAACAAUUUAUGUUUAGACUGGAACAUUAAGCUUCUACAUAGACUAGUCGUUAGAACUAGGUAAAAUAUAUGUUACAUUUCUUUCAAACUUGAUGUUGAGUUAUGUGUUUAAUGGAUUCUCAUACGGUGGAUUUGGCGCAUGGUUUUGAAAUAAAUUAAAACAGAAGAAUCCAUUAAAAACAUAUAUAACUCAACAUCAAGUAUGAAAAUUAAUGAGAUCGGGCAUUGAUCAUUAUCAAGAAAAGCAUUUUGUAUUAAUGUAUGAUGUGGAAACUCCAACGACAUAUUGGUAAGAUUUCAAUUCAAAGUUACAAAACAAAUAUGAGAUAAUUAAUCAAACUAGCUUUACUAGGACAAUAUAUUGUCUCCUUGCCAAAGCUCUCCCAACCACCUACUAAAGUAACAAACUAUAUUUCAGUUACUCUUUUUUUUUCUUCUUAUUCCUAUCAAUGAUAUAGUUCACCAACAUUAUACAUUUGGGAGUCACACUACCCAAAAAAAAGAGCAGUAAACAAAUUUUUUAUUUGACAAUAACAGUAAACUAAAAUUUGAUACAAAAAAAUUUCGUCUUAUAUAUAUUUACAUAAGAUUUGAAAGUGAUGGUUGCUGCCUUGCUGGUAUAGAGCUCGACGAAUGUAGGGGACAAAAUUUAUAAGUUUUAAACACGAGAAAAAAAUAUAAAGCUUUCACGUGGCAGGAUGUAUUUGCCUACUGUCAACUUCAAAAACCUGGCAACUGCUAUGCAGUUUCAGAAGACACGUGUCAUGUGUCACACGCGCUUCGUGUUUUUUUCUCUUCGAUUUUUUUUUGUAAUAUGGGACCCACAUAAUUCAAAUCAUCGACUGCUAUCUUUUUUUUCAUCAGCUCACACGUCAAUACGUCAUCCUAUUGCUUGCCGCCACGUCCCAGAGAAUUUUCCGCAAAAAGAUGAGCUUCUCUCCUUUUUUUUCUGUUUAAAUAGGGUUUUUUUUUUUUCAUCAUUGUUUAGUUAGGUUAUUUUAAUUAUUUGUUUAUUUCUCCCUCUGUUUCAUAUUAUAUGAUGUUUUAGACAUUUUGUUUUGUUUCACAAUAUAACAUGUUCUAUAAAAAAAAAUACAAGUUUCUAUGUCAAAAAUUAAACUCAUUCAAUUUUUUGACUAUUAAUAUUCAGCAGUAAUUUUUAUCAUUGGUCAAAUUAUUUUUAGUUAGAUAUUAAGUUAUGUUUUCAAUGUAAAAAUAUACUAACCAAAUAAAUAUUAAUUGCUUUCUUAAAUUUGUGAUUUUAUUCAAAACAUCAAAUAUUUUGAAACAGAAAAAGUAAUAAUUUAAUACUAAUAUGAUCUAAAACCCAUAUUAUUAUGUAGGCACAAUGAUAAGAUUCACUAGUAAAAGAUGUGAUUUUCGAUAGUCACGCUUUACUACUGCACUACUAUGCUAUAUAUACGUCACAUCCUUGCAUUUUAGUAAUUUUACUACAUUUAUAAAGUAUUUUUGACAAAAUAUUGUUUUAGAAGUUCACAAUUUUUUGGGGACAAUUAUUCGUUAUAUAUGUAGAUUAAUUAGCUCAACUCGUCUCUAUAUACCAAAAGUAUAGAGUUUCGUUUCGACAAGACUUCUAUACAAAUUCGAUCUCAAGUCUCCAUUUUGUACCAUUUAUAUUUUUAUUAGCUACAUUUUAGUAGAAAUUCAUAUCAUUGAUCAUGUUAUGUUUUCAGUAUAAAAAUUAUGGUGAACGGGGACCUAAACCUUCAAUGGCAAAUCUGUCUCAUGAUGAUGAUGAUCCAUCCAUGAUUUUGUGGUAAGAUUGUAAAAAUUGAGUCAAUUUUUUUUUUAUUAAUCAACAACUUUAACUAAUUUUCUUCAAAAGAGCAUUCCUAGGGAAUGUUAUAAAAAUGAGUCAAUCCAUAAAAUAGAAUUGUAAUAAUACUAUAAGGAAAAAAAGAAAAAGAAAUUAUUACGAAAUUAGUAUUCAAUAAAUAUCAUCAUCACAUUACAUAAACAUUAUGUUCUACGACGUAACAGUUUAAGCCCAAAUUACAACUCUCGAUCCUACUUAAACGCAGUAAAUGAAUGUUGACCAAAAAACAAUCUUGGGUCAAGACAUAAGUAAAGAAUGUAAACACGUGUCGAAUAUCGAGGAAGAAAACAGGUUAGAGAGGGGUCAACAUUUUUAAAUGUUAGAGAAGUGGUCCCCAGUUUUCCAAAAAACCCCAUCUACGUACUUGUGUGUCACUGGACACCAUUCCUGAUUAAUUUUAUAUUUGAAAACGUUAUGUUUUUGUUUAUUUCUAAUAGUUGAAAAAUUUUCUAACGUAAAAUUUGUUCCCCGAAAAAAUAAUAAAAAAUGCAAGUGUAUAGUUCACUCGAAUUUGACAUGUCCAAUAUAUAAUCUAUGUUAAUUUCUGUUUUUAUAGUUUAUUUUGUUUUUGUUUCAACCGGAAUUCUAUAUAUAAAAUUUGAAAUAUCAAUUAUACAAAUAUUCAUAUUCAAAUAAAAAGCUCUAAAAGACAAAACCAAAGAAUUCACAAAGUUUAUAAAGACAUCAAUCUCAACUCAGAAAAAACAAAUCGAAUGGAUAAAACCAUUACAAAGAGCAAAAAACAACAUUUGCAUACAUGAAUUCAUAACAAAAGAAAAUUAGCUAAAUAACCGUUUACAGGAAAAGCUAAUGAUAAUUUACCACUUCAUGCUUUCGAUUUUCUGAUAUAAAUACCGUUUUUGCCUUCUAACGUCUUGUUUUCGCAUAUCCGUACAUGAUUUAUGCAACUUAGUAAGUUACUAUCAUCAUAUUAUUAAUUGUGUGGAUCAAACUUACACAUUGUUUGUGAUGCUUUUGAUUAGUAGUAGUUAGUAGUUACUAUUCAUUUGGAUAUUUUUGUUUUUUGCUGAGAAAAUUACUAAUAGUUGUAGAGAAAAACAUGUAUCCAAUGAUUUGUAUAAAAAUAGUCGUUGUGUUGUCACCCGAUUUAAUUUGUGAUAUUAAUUAACAGUGAAUAAUAAUUUAAAAAAUUAUAAUCUAAAGAAUUGCAUAUAAUUUUAGUUACUUUUAUUUUAAAUUCACAAAAUCCCAAUGUGUCAAACAUUGGGGAAUGAUGUUCACUUUUAUUUUAUUCACAAAAUGCUGCUUAUCAACUAAGAAAAUUAUAAUGUGUCAAACAUUAGAUGGUGAUAUUUAGAAUAUUAUAGAUAUAAAAUCAGUUUUGAACUGCCUCAUAAGUCAUAAGAUUACACGAUUGUAAAUCAUUGAAUAUUCCGGACACCUGUCAAGAUUAAAACCAUGAAUAAGUAAGUAUUCAAAUUCAUUUUCGUCAUCUCAAUUGUAAAACUAGGUAACAUAUCCUUAAAAAUCUUUGAAUAUUAAAACACCAUAUGAAAUGUCUUAAAUAUAUCUAUUCUAAAACUCUGACUGUUUGCAGCAUAAAAAAGGGGGGAUGAAACAAAUGGAACAAACACAGAAUAAAAAUGCUAGACCAGACAAGUAAAACAAACGAAAUAGAACAAGUGUUAAAAUGAUUUAAGUAUUAACUUACAAAUUUUGAACAUACUUUUUUUUAAAAUAAGGAAUUGUUCUAAUUAAAAAUUAGCAUAUGUAGCCUCAAAUUGUUUCUAAGACGUUUUGUCGAAAAACAAUUGCUUCUAAUACGUAUUACGCACCAACUUUAAAUUUAUAGUGACAUAUUCUACUAAUUAUCACCUUUUUCUCUUAUGUUUCGUAGUCGCAGAUAGUCAGUUUUUUCUAGAAUAAGUUGCCAUUAGACACACCAAACUUUACAAACGAUGAUAUAUACCGUAUUGUCACGCUCACCAAAAAAACAAACGCGAUGAAUCAUCAUCACUAGACUAAAACACCAAAUUAAUUUUCACUCAGGUAAAAAGAUUAAUUUUUUCCAACCUUUUUAAUUGAAUUGAUUAGCUGUGAAUUGUGAUGACGUAAUUAGUUGUGAUGGCAGUGAUGACGUAAUUAGUUGUAGUUUAUAUAGUAAAACAAAUAGAAAUGGUAAAGUAAAUUUCCACAACAAAAUUUGGUAAAAAUCUAUAAAAUAAGAGGUUUAGAGAUCGCAUGUUAUAUUGCAUAUGUAAUAAAGUUAAUUAGUUGUGAUGACAGAGAUGACGUAAUUAGUUGUAGUUUAUAGUAAAACAAAUGGAAAUGGUAAGGUAAAUUUCCACAACAAAACUUCGUAAAAAUCUAAAAAAAAAAAAAAGGUUUAGAGAUCGCAUGCGUGUCAUCAAAGGUUCUUUUCACUUUAGGUCAGAGUUGUGUUAGAAUUUGAUUGGCACACGUAAGUGUUUCCUAUCGCGAUUUAGGAGAAGUACCAUUACACGUGGCUAAAAUCAACGGUCAAGAUUUCUUCGUCCAGAUAGAGGAGCGAUACGUCACGCCAUUCAACAAUCUUCUCUUCUUCAUUCCUUCCAUUUGAUUUUGAGUUUUGAUCUGCCCGUUCAAAAGUCUCGGUCUGCCCGUAAAAUAAAGAUGAUUUAUUUAUUUAUAUCUUCUGCUAAUAUAAAGCUUCCAUGGCUAAUCUUGUUUAAGCUUCUCUUCUUCUUCUCUGUCCUGUGUCUCGUUUACUAGUUUUUUUUUCUCGGGGGAGAGUGAUGGAGUGUGUUUGCUGAACAGUUUCGACGAUCGCAUGGCUGAGAUUUGUUACGAGAACGAGACUAUGAUGACGAAAACGACGGCGACGGUGGUGAAGAAGACGACGACGACAACGAGGAGACGAGAACGGAGCUCUUCUCAAGCAGCGAGAAGGAGGAGAAUGGAGAUCCGGAGGUUUAAGUUUGUUUCCGGUGAACAAGAUUUCGUCGACGGUGAAUUACAGAAGCGGAGGAGACGGGAAUCCACCGUCGCAGCCUCUGCCUCCGCCGUGUUUUACGAAACGGCGAAGGAAGUUGUCGUUUUAUGCGAGUCUCUGAGUUCUACGGUUGUGGCAUUGCCUGAUCCUGAAGCUUAUCCUAAAUACGGCGUCGCUUCCGUCUGUGGAAGAAGACGAGAAAUGGAAGACGCCGUCGCUGUACAUCCGUUUUUUUCCCGUCAACAGACGGAAUAUUCCUCCUCCGGAUUUCACUACUGCGGCGUUUACGAUGGCCAUGGCUGUUCCCAUGUACGACGCCGUUUAAUUAAAAAAUUAGCCUUAAUUGACUGUUACGACGUCGUUUUUAUUGUUUAAUAAUAUGUUUAGGUAGCGAUGAGAUGCAGAGAAAGACUACACGAGCUAGUCCGUGAAGAGUUUGAAGCUGAUGCUGACUGGGAAAAGUCAAUGGCGCGUAGCUUCACGCGCAUGGACAUGGAGGUUGUUGCGUUGAACGCCGAUGGUGCGGCGAAAUGCCGUUGCGAGCUUCAGCGGCCGGACUGUGACGCGGUGGGAUCCACCGCGGUUGUGUCUGUUCUCACGCCGGAGAAAAUCAUCGUGGCAAAUUGCGGUGACUCACGUGCCGUUCUGUGCCGUAACGGGAAGGCCAUUGCUUUAUCCUCCGAUCAUAAGGUUUUGUUCGUUUUCUGAUAAUCUCUCUUCUUUUGUUUAUUCAUCGUUAAAUUUUUAUCCGUUAUUUCUACGGUUAUGGUUUACUCACUGUAAUGGAAACGAGAAUUUCGUUACGUGUCGCGUUCGAAACUUACCUAUCGAUAUUGUUUAAUGCAUUUUUUUCUUAAUAUUUAAUGAGUUUUUAAUUAUUAUUUAAUUUUUUGAAAUUCGAAUUUUGUUUAAUGGGCAUGCAACACCUGGACGGCGAUUAAGAAUGUUAAUGACUUUAUAGAUUAGAGGAUCUGAUAAAGUUUCUGAGUUGUAGAUUCUUUAAUCCGCCGUGUCACUGUUAUCAAUAUGACUCUAUUUCUUUCCUCUUCUUUUAAAUCAACCAGCCCGACCGUCCGGACGAGCUAGACCGGAUUCAAGCAGCGGGUGGUCGGGUUAUCUACUGGGAUGGCCCACGUGUCCUUGGAGUACUUGCAAUGUCACGAGCCAUUGGUCAGUUAAUUGAUUACACUUGACGAAACUAAUGUUUGCACAAAGUUUUUCCAUACGUUCAAUAAUGAUGAUAAUUAAAUCUCGUUUCGCCGCGUUUUUUUUUUCUUUUCAGGAGAUAAUUACUUGAAACCGUAUGUAAUCAGCAAACCGGAGGUAACCGUGACAGACCGGGUCAACGGAGACGAUUUCCUUAUUCUAGCAAGUGACGGUCUUUGGGACGUUGUUUCAAACGAAACUGCAUGUAGCGUCGUUCGAAUGUGUUUGAGUGGAAAAGCCAAUGGUCAACUAUCAACCUCACCGGAAAGGGAAAUGACAGGUGUCGGCGCCGGGAAUGUGAUGGUCGGAGGAGGAGAUUUGCCGGAUAAAGCGUGUGAGGAGGCUUCGCUGUUGCUGACGAGGCUUGCAUUGGCUAGACAAAGUUCGGACAACGUAAGUGUUGUGGUGGUUGAUCUAAGACGAGACACGUAGUUGUUUCUUCUCUCUCUCUCUCGUAAUGGUUGUUUUUUUGUCCUGAGUCAUCGACUUUUGGGCUUUCUCUUUUAACCUUUUUUGCUCUUCGGUGUAAGACAUCGAAGGGUUUUUAAUUUAGCUUGAUUUUGGGCUAUGUCACUGUAGUGAAUCGCGGUUUAGAUCUACAAAGAUUUUCACCGGUAGUGAAAAUGGUAAAAGCAGUGAACUUUUGUAACUGCACAUGUGAAAGACUGAGUUUGGUUAGUUUCUGAGUUUCCUUAACCCUACUAGUCUCCUUAGUAAUUUAGAUGGUAAAUCCGAUCAUAUUAGAAUUAUAUGAAAAAUAGAAACAAAAAUGUGAUGUUCAAUCAGUUGAUCAGAACAAAUCUAUUUUUUAAGUUUAAUUAUAGCUAUAUAUAGGAAGUUUUAUAGGAAUCUUCGAAAUGUCAAGACUGAUAUUUUGAAGAAUAGAAAAAAAAAAAAAUUCAAGUUGAUUGUACAUAACAAGGCAAACAAUUGGAAUAGAAUACUUCAAAAGCUAGUUGGAAGGAUUAAAACUUAAUAACAUUCCUUUUCUUAUUAUGUAUAAAGAUUUAUUUUUUGCCAACAUAAUCUAUACAACAUUUUUAUAUAAUUGUUCAUGAAAUGUGAUCAAGAAUCACGCCAAGACAAGGAUAGAAGCGGGUGUGGUUCACACACUCUCAUGUGACAUACAAAAUAUUCCGAUCAUUAAGACUGAAAUUUGAGUUUUUCUUUUGACACACAAAGGUGUGAUAAUUUCCAACCGCCGCAGUUGGAAGUAAACUGUUUUGGAAGUCAAUAGUCAAAAGAAAUGGUUAGACGAAUCAGUUGGAGAAGAAAAUUGAAGAAGGCGAUUGGAAGAAAAAUAAAAGGAGUUGAUUUCGAGACAAACACUACAAAAACAGAUGAAUUAAUUGCAUUUAUUUGAUGAGUGAUAUGCUUUCUCCAAUAUUUUGGAUGAGUUUUUUUUUUUGGUGUGAAAGAGGGAGAAAUCUCUCAUUAUUUAUUAUAAAAAAUCAAAGUCAAAUACAAACUUGCCGUGAAAUGGCAGUACCACGAAUAUCGUCUAAAGCAAUAGAAGCAACACAACUAGGAAUAGAUUCAAGUAAAUGAAAACCUAACCGAAGAGAGAACGCAUAGUUUGCCAACCCGUCGGCGAGACGAUUAGCUUCCCUAUACACAUGUGAAAUACGGACAAUCCAGUCCCUUGCGAUAAAGCCGUGGCACAAACGUACCAGGAAAGACAAGCGAUGAGCAUCGCUUAUCCCUGUCGUUAGAAAACCCACUACCAUCUCCGAGUCUACAUCCACUUCUACACGUGUUGCCCGUCGCUCCCAGGCAAAGUAUAGAGCGUAGUAAACUCCCCAAAGUUCCGCCAUCGGAGCCGAACAAACUCCUAUAUGCAACGCAAAUCCCACCAUCCAGCUUCCAGUCAUGUCCCGCAGCACACCUCCAGCAGUUGCUUUACCCGGGUUCCCGUGUGACGCGCCAUCAGUGUUAACUUUUACCCAGUCCACGAGAUCUGCCUCUCCACAUGACUUGGCUUCUCUCGCGACUGUCGUUGGGAUUGGUGAGCCUCCGUCACCUCCUUAGCGAGAUCCUUGACAAACCGAACUCUAUCCCGACAUUUACCAUUCCCACCAAAUACGUUCCCGCACCUCCACUUCCAACCCCACCAUAAGGCCAUACUAAAUAGUGUUGACCAGUCUCCACUGUCCACUGUUAUUCCUCCACUUAAGUUCCCCCACAACCAUUCAAGAAGAGUCAUAGAGAAGAAAGUAUGCCUUAACCUCGCUGGGAUGAUGCGAGUCCAGAUUCCCUGCAUGGCUGGGCAAUCCCGCAAAAUGUGAAGGGUAUCCUCCUCCCCACUUUUACAAACUUGACAGAUUGAUGAAUCACAAAGAUGUCUCCUGAAUCUUUCCGCAUUAGACAUAACGGCAUGAUUCCCGACUAACCACAAGAAAACUCUAACUCUCUCUGGAACUACAACUCGCCAUACUUGUGCCCAGAAUUUUUCCAUGUCAGGUCGCAGGUUUUCAUCUCUAGAAACCAGUUGGUAAGCAGACCUGACCGUAAAUUUCCCCUCCGAGUUCUCACCCCAGCUAACUCUGUCCUUCGCACCUGUGACGCUAUCCACUACCAAAGCCCCUAACCGGAGGCGUGUAUCAUUGGAAGUAAACGGAGUAAUACGAUCCAGUUUCCAACCCACUCCGUCCUGCCAUAAACUCUUUACCAAUUCGUUCUCCCGCUCCGCUGGUAACUCACCCUCCACAAGCUCAAUUAGAGGUUUAUGCAUUAACCAUCUAUCCUUCCAGAAUUUAAUUUCUUUACCAUCACCUAACACCCAGCUCUGACCCGGGAAAACUACUUCUCGAAUUCCCAAGGCCACGCUUCUCCAGGUCGAUGACCAGUUACUAGAUGGCUUAGUCCAUGCCGUGUUAUGCAUAUCCCCAAUCUUAUAUUUGCAUCUUAACACCUUGGCCCAGAGACUUGUGCGAUCCUGUAACACUCUCCAACCCACCUUUGUUAGCAAGGCCUUAUUCAUCUAUGCUGCCUGCUUAAUACCAGCUCCUCCCUCACUCUUUGGUAGACACACUCUUUUCCAAGCGAUAAGGUGUUGUCUCCAAGAUAUAUUUCGUAAUUUUUGCUUUUGGUAGUUUAUUGUAGUAAUUUAAAUCUCAAGAUAAAUCAUUAAAUUGUAUAGCAUGCUCUUCUAGGAUUAGAUUUGUUGAUGUUACUUAUGUAAACUUUGAGUGGUUGAAAAAAAAACAUUCCACAUUCAUAACAUAUCAAUCAUAUUCAAAGCUAAACCACAUUCCUUAAGUUUCCAACCUUUGACCUAUGACGCAUCAAAGCAUAGUGCAAAGUUAUAAAAAUAGUUAAGUUCUUGAAAUAGAAAGAACUUCUUUGGGUCAAAAAACUGAAAACAAAUUGCAUAUCGAAUCUCAUGAUGAUGUACAUUCGUUCAAAGCUUUUGAGAUAUGCUCCAUAGUGUAUAUUACCACCUAAGUGAAUCUCGUUAGUGGCAUGCAUGAGCAUAAAGAUGCUUAUAGUGGACGAGUUUCCAAGAUAAUCAUCCUAUAUUAUCAAUCAAAGUUAGAAUUUGGUAGUCUCCGACUACAUAUAAGACCUUCCUCCGUCCUUCGGGACCAACAAAUUAAAGGGUGAUAGACCAAAUCACCAAAAUAUAACUGAUUUUUUAUAGCGUUUAUUCUCAUAAUAACAUCACCAAUAUAAAGAGAAAACAUGGAAAAGUGAACAACGUCCUCGCUAAUAAGCCCAAAUUGACUCUCCAAUAAGCCCAACCCAGACGUUACGGUUUGUCGCCGGCGAUUACCCUCUCCGACAUUCGAAUUUGCCGAGGAAUCAUCUAGUGCAGAAGGAAUCAUACCAUGGACUCGCACCACGCGUCUCUAGGUCGCCGGACUGUAAGCAUAUAUCCGUUGUCGCCGUCUUCAUCUUCGUCUGACGACGGUUUCUUACAUCGGUGUUUUCGUUGGUUUCUGUGAUCUUGUAGUUGGAAGAGAUUCGUCAAAAGAGAGCUGCUCAAAGGCUAAGCAAAACUUCAUCAGGCCCAGAUCUUAGCGAAAUUCCAAAUCCUGCCGGUAAUUUCAUUGUUUUUGAUCUCUCUAUUUUCCCCUAGCUUUGCAAUUUUGAUUGUUUCAAUGUCUUGCAGAUUUCCCAGUGAUCAGAAAAUCUGAGAGUGGAAAUCGGCUUUCUGAGGUAACAUUUCUCUGAUAUUGUGUGAUCUAAUUGGGAUCCUUGAGAACUGCGACGAUCGUGAUAAUGAGAAUGCUUGAAUUGAGUUUUGUAUUGGGUUUUACUGAUAUUAUGAUCUUGCUGGUCAUGGUUUGUUUUGAAUUACAUCCACAGACAGAUGUUGGUGCUUUAUAUUCCCAGCUUAAAGAACUGCAGAAGAAGAAUGCAGAUAUGGAGGAGCGCAACAAGAUAUUGUCCUCAAAGGUAUUAGUUACCUCUUUGCCUUGCUAGUUAUCAGAUCCUAUGUUUUUAUUUUGAUUAAACUGUAUUCAUGAUGUGUUUUUUUUUGUCUGUGGGAUUCAGCUUCAAACAAAGGAAGUUGAGAAUGAAUCACUUGAGACUCGGUUGAAUGUGCUGGUAUGUAACAAGUAAACUUCUAUUUGUGAUGUUAUCCAUUCCUGGUUUGUGAGGCUUGACAUGGAAUAUGAAAAAUGAUUCAAGAUGUCUUGACAUAUGCCCUUGUGGAUGAAUAACAGGAACAAAACACAGUGCCAUCUCUGAGAAAAGCCCUUAAGGAAAUUGCAAUGGAGAAAGAUGCUGCUGUUGUUUUACGAGUAGGGAGUACACUUGUUUUAGUUCUUUUGGUGCAAAAAUUAUCUCCUCCUUGAUUGCAUGUUUGAUUGGCGUAGCUAUUGUUUAUAGGAGGAUCUCUCAGCUCAAGUUAGGACUCUUAAGAGACGUGUUAAAGAGGCAGAGGAGGAACAAUAUCGAGUAUGGAACAAUUUUUUGCCUUCCAAAUUUAAAUUUCCCUUUCUUCUUUAUUUAGAGAUACCAUAACCCAUUGUUGAUAGGCUGAGGAAGAUGCGGCAUCUCUGAGAGCAGAGCUUAACUCGAUACAACAGCAAGCAAUGGGUACUUCGUUUACUGGCCUGUCGCCAAUGGGAGUUUCCUCAGACCAACUACCAAUAUUAGAAAAGGAGAUGGCUAACCUAAAACUAGAAUUACAGGUUUAAAUUAUUUUGAAACAGAUAAUAGGUUCCCCGUGAGAGUCUAUUUAUCUAAGAUAAUAAUGUUCUUAACGUACACAGAAAGAAUCAGUGUUAAGGCAGCAAGAACAACAGCGUUUAGCUGAAGAACAAACUCGAGUAGCUUCUUUAAUGUCUGAAAAGCAGGAACUGGAACAGAAGAUUUCAGUUUUAUCUAGCAGGGCCUCAGGUAACAUGCAAUGACACAGAAUUCUUUUUUUUUCGGAAGCAAGUUUGUAGUUGCAGGUGUUACAAUCAGCAGGUGUUUGAAAGCACUAGCUGACGUCUAAAUGCUUUUGAGUCAUUCAGAUAUUUUUUUACCGACUUGUGCAUUGUUGGAUACAUAUCAAUGACUUUUUCGGUGGUAUUUAUUAUGCAGAAGUAUCAGAGUCUGGUCAAAAGGCAUUGUCAGUGGUAAGAAAAUGUUAUAACCCAUUUUGCCACUUGCAAGCAUAUCAGCGUUCACGUUUUAUGGAAUCCCUUAGUUUUAGGUUUGAUGGUUUUCAUGUAGGAAGAUAAAGAAAAACUCGAGAAGCAGUUGCAUGAUAUGGCUGUUGCACUUGAAAGAUUAGAGAGUAGUAGGCAAAAACUUCUCAUGGAGAUUGACAACCAAUCAUCUGAAAUAGAGAGGCUUUUUGAGGAGAACUCGAACCUCUCGGCUUCAUAUCAAGAAUCAAUCAACGUAUCAAAUCAGUGGGAGAAUCAAGUAAGCGUCUCACAUUUAUUUUUGCUUUAGAAACAUUUUCUUGGACUUUAUGUUGAUUUGUAGCAAACUGCAUAGGUGAAAGAAUGUCUGAAGCAAAACAUAGAACUCCGUGAAGUUCUGGACAAGUUAAGAACAGAACAAGCCAGUGCUCUUUCACGAAAGUCUUCAGAAAUUGAGGCAAAUGGGUCGCACUCGCAUGGAACUGAAACUCUAUCCCUCAAGGUUUUGGUCCUCACCAACUAUUAAAAUAGAAAAUUCAACACAACUAGUGUUUGUGUGGUUACAUUCCGCAUUUGUUUUUUCCAGGGUGAACUUGCAAAAGAACAGAGCAGAGUGGAAUCAUUAUCUGCUCAAGUUCUCCAACUCUCAGCUCAACUUCAGCAAGCAACACAAGCAUACAAUGGGCUUAUGCGGGUGUAAGUGUCACAUGGGACUUUCUUCAAUCUAUUGAGAUUCUAUCGUAUUGUUAAUUUUGUUUUCUAUUGCGAUUUCUUGCAGCUAUAAACCUGUGCUUAGAAACAUAGAGAGUAGCUUAAUCAAGCUGAAGCAAGAUGGAUCGGUUACAGUGGCACAGUGAAUGAGGAACCAAGGGCACACUUCUGAGUAUUGAAUAUAUAUUUUUAUACAACAAAUGUCUGCUUAGAACCAAGGGGACAAGUGAAGUUAACACAUUUUUCUUUAUCGAAAAAUUUGGUUCGUUUUGUAAUGUCUAUUGAAAGCUUCGGUUUGUUUUCCUCAAGUUUGAUUUUGCCAUUUUGGUAGGUUUGUUUAUAUCGGUUUAUUUCCGGAUCAAGAGUACCGGAAAGAGAAUUGGAAAGUGUCCUAAUCGAGGUGAGACUAAACCGAAUUUCUAAAUCUCGGUUCGGCUACAAUAGACACUGUUGGUAUUUUCUCUUCCUCAACGAACUGGGCUUUUUGUCGCAGGCCCAUUAAACUUGGAUUGGGCUAAUUAUAACCGUAUGGCUAAAAUUCUAACGGUUUAGAAUCUUCAUUUGAGCGCGAAAUGAUUUCCUCCUUGGCGGCGAUCACCGGAGGGCCAUCAACAUUCCGGCGUGAUCCCGAUGCAAAUACUCUCAGGCUAGCCCGCAGGAAAACAUUAAUCUCUUUAUUACGAAACUGCAAGAACAAUGCCCAAGUUCCAUCGAUUCACGCCAAGAUCAUUAGGACCUUCCAUGACCAAGAUGCUUUCGUUGUUUUCGAGCUUAUCCGUGUCUGCUCCACUCUUGAUUCCAUCGACUACGCUUACGACGUGUUUCGUUAUGUAUCGAACCCUAAUGUGUAUCUGUACACCGCCAUGAUCGAUGGUUUUGUGUCAUCUGGUCGCUCCGCUGAUGGAGUUUCGCUGUAUCAUCGGAUGAUUCACAGUUCGGUUUUGCCUGAUAAUUACGUGAUCACCUCCGUUUUGAAAGCUUGUGGUUUGGAUGAAUGUAGAGAGAUUCAUUCCCAGGUUUUGAAACUUGGGUUCGGGUCUAGCAGAUCGGUGGGGCUAAAACUGAUGGAAAUCUACGGGAAAUCUGGGGAAUUGGCUGAUGCUAAGAAGGUGUUCGAUGAAAUGCCUGACAGAGAUCAGGUUGUAGCAACAGUCAUGAUUAAUUGUUAUUCUGAAUGUGGUUGUAUUAAGGAGGCAUUAGAGCUGUUUCAAGAUGUUAAGAUCAAAGAUACGGUUUGUUGGACUGCGAUGAUUGAUGGGUUGGUUAGAAACAGGGAGAUGAACAAAGCAUUGGAGCUUUUUAGGGAAAUGCAGGUGGAGAAUGUUAGUCCUAAUGAAUUCACAGCUGUCUGUGUUUUAUCUGCCUGCUCGGAUUUGGGUGCGUUGGAGCUCGGGCGCUGGGGUACAUUCGUUUGUUGAGAACCAAAAAAUGGAGCUUAGUAAUUUCGUAGGAAAUGCUUUGAUCAAUAUGUACUCCAGGUGUGGUGAUAUCAAUGUGGCAAAGCGGGUUUUCAAGGGAAUGCGAGACAAAGAUGUCAUUUCAUAUAACACGAUGAUUUCUGGAUUAGCAAUGCAUGGAGCUAGCGUUGAAGCUAUCAAUGUAUUUCGGGAUAUGGUGAACAGAGGAUUUAGGCCGAAUCAGGUGACUUUAGUUGCUCUUUUAAACGCAUGUAGCCAUGGAGGUUUGCUGGAUAUAGGACUUGAAGUUUUUAAUUCUAUGUGGAGAGUUUUCAGUGUUGAACCACAGAUUGAGCAUUAUGGAUGUAUUGUCGAUCUUCUUGGUCGAGUGGGGAGACUAGAGGAGGCUUACAGAUUCAUAGAAAAUAUGCUGAUAGAACCGGAUCAUAUCAUGUUAGGAGCUCUUCUGAGUGCUUGUAAGAUCCAUGGAAACAUGGAACUCGGUGAAAAAAUCGCCAAGAGACUAUUCGAAUCUGAGAAUCCAGAUUCUGGGACAUACGUUCUCCUAUCGCAUAUAUACGCUUCAUCAGGGAAAUGGAAAGAAUCUACAGAAAUCAGAGAAAGUAUGAGAGAAUCAGGGAUUGAGAAGGAACCUGGAUGCAGUACUAUCGAAGUGGACAACCAGAUCCAUGAGUUUCAUGUGGGAGAUAUAGCACACCCUCGUAAAGAAGCAAUUUAUCAGAGAUUACAAGAACUGAAUCGAAAUCUUAGAUUCAAAGAGAAUGAAACAGAUAUUAUAACGGGUUUGUAGUGACAUAUACACAUUGUUCUCAGGGUAAGUAUGUCAUAAGUCCCUCAAAAUUUUGUCUCUUCUUCUCUUUGUUUUUGAUGAUACAAGAAAAGAAAAUUAGUAAAACGCUAAAAGGAGUUUCUAUGGCUGGAUUGAGUAAGCAACGAUUGGGCUUCUGACACUGUGACUCCCAUCAGACCAAACCACAGACGAACUUAGAAUACUUCCAUCCCUUAGUUCUUUACCAGAGAUGGUCACAACAAACGUUUUCUUCUCCUUCAAGAAACCGAAUCUCAGUAUUUCUGGUUCUAUGCGAAUCUGAAUAUCUGGUUGGAGAGGAACAACACUUGCCUUGUACGUAGAGUUUGGGAUUCCAACAUUAGUAACGGUUCUUUUAAAUGUGACAUUGAAUGGAUCAAGAGCAGAGACAAACGUAGUCAUUGUUGGGUAAUUCAGAUUCUUGACUUCUGUUCUUUCCGAGCAAGUGACGUUCUGUCCUGAGGUUUUUGUGAGCGACGUUGAAUCAAAACCCUCUGCACAUAACAUUUUGAGGUAAUCGUCUGUUUCUACUUCAUACACAAGUCCUGGGUCGCUUGCUUUGGUCGGGUUAAUUUGGCCUGACCCAUAUGCAAAUUCUUGCUCGGGGUUCUUCUUAAGGUUCAUGGGGGUAGCUGCAAACAUACCAUUGACAAUAAUAUGUUUUUGUAUUCCUCCAACAGUAAGAAAAUCAGAAGAAAGUAUUGUUUUUUUUUGAAAAUUUUACCGGUCGUCAUUAUAGCGGAUUUGAUUGCCGAUGGAGACCAGUCAGGGUGAAAAGACUUGACAUAAGCCGCUACACCUGCCACAUGAGGACAAGCCAUUGAUGUGCCACUCAUAACACUAUACCUCACACUUCUCUUGUCCUCAGGGUUCAAUAAACUUGAAGGAGAAGCUACCGGAGAAAAUGCAGCCAAAAUCUCUAAUCCAGGUGCACUUACGUCAGGCUGCAAAUUAACAUUGAUGUUAUUCCACUAACAUUCGGUUAUAAAACCAACACAAGCUUAAUGAUCUUUGUUCCGGUUGCAUUACCUUCAAGAGGUUCUGAAUGACGAAACUUGGCCCGCGAGAAGAGAAAGAUGGAACAUAAGGAGCUUCUCUAUCAACUGUCUCCUCGGUUCUCAGUAUCUCCGCUUGUGGAGGCCUGCAAAAUUCACUCUUUUAACCUCUCAAGACCGAACAACAAAGCUGUUCAUAUUCAUCACUCUCCUUUUUAUUUACUUACUCUGCAGAUACGAUGUAUGACUUGAUAGAUUUGUAGUCCUCAAAACCAAGAGAAGAGGCAGGAAAUGGAAACACAAAGGCGCUGUCUGGAAACAAUGUGUUUUGAGCAAUGGCUCCAAUGGCUCCAGCUAAGUAAGCUUCUCUAUAUCCUAGGAAGUCAUCACAUAGGACGAUCUUCCCUUUGACCAGGUCGCUGUCGACACACCCACUUGAGCAAAAACUGUCCAUAGCAAUAACCAUUUUAAGCAUCAAUGUGUUUUGAUUCAAGACUCAGAUGGAACGUGGAAUAAUUGAAGAAGAAGAAGACACUUCUUACUCACCCGGCUUCGGCUUGGGAACAUUUUCUAGACACGUUUUGGCCGUAAACGAUCGGGAACUUUGUCCCAUUGAGAUUGAAUGGAUUAACUGAUAUACCCUGUUUAAGAAAUAGAGUAUCAAGACUCUUGAACUUUGUCACUGACUCUGAACUAGGAUGUGAAAUGUCUCUCGUUUUAAUUUAUAAAAAAAAAAGAAAAUGUACCGUUAAUGCUUUUCCGUUACCAAGAACGACUCUGUCAAUGAAACGCCGGUCUGUAGCGCUGGCAGCGACGGUUAUCAUCCACGGUGAUACAUUUGCCACCGAACCUUGAUCAGGCCCAUUGUUCCCAGCUGAACCCGCCGUGAUGAUUCCUCUCAACAUUGCGUGAAAAGAACCAAUGGCUACAGAAGCGUUUAAUAAAUUGGAGACGUAAUCGACUGAGAUUGAGAUCGAGAUAACAUCAACACCAUCGGCAAUGGCAUCAUCAAACGCAGCCAGAAUAUCUACAUCGUUGCAGCGUUUGAAGCAGACUUUAUAGGCGGCGAUUCUCGCCGAGGGAACUCCACCACGAGCCGUACCUUGAGCCAGGCCGUAAAAGCUGGCGGCUUGAACUGCAUUACCAGCAGCCGUCGACGCAGUGUGUGUCCCAUGGCCUUCCUCGUCUCUUGCUGACUCAGAAAAUUUGUUGUAAAACCUAGCUCCGAUGAGUUUGCUUGUAGCACAAGAAAGAUAACCCUAAACGUUUAGUAUCCUUAUAUUAAUACCAUGUCAGGGAAAAUUGAAACAUAUCUAAUCAAAGUAACGUAAACAGAGGUCGAAAUGGUAUGUAUACAGAGCGUUAGAAGUAUACAUACCAUUAGAAGUAAAUAGAGCUCCGAUCCCGACAACAACGGUGAUCGGAGCCCGGAGGUCGAAAUGAAUCUAACUUACUUGUUGCAAGUGAAGUUUAGGCCACCUUUACAAGAACCUUUCCAUUUCUUUGGAGGCGGACCAAAACCUUUGUCGUCAAAGCUCUCAGAUUCCGGCCAGAUUCCGCUGUCUAUCACUCCGACAAUAACAUCACUCUCUUUCACACUCUCUCCUUUUGCUCUCUCGCCAAAUCCGACAAAGUCCCAUGAUCUUGUUGUCGUCAGUUCAUGACUUUUGCUUGGAAACACAGACACUACCUCUUUCAUAUCUGUACAUUCAAAGAUUAUGUUAUUUAGAAAAGUUUCUGACAAUUUUUUUUAUAUUUUUUUUUGUAAAAAAAUUAUGAUUUAUGAAAUACUCACUUUGCAGUUUCUGACUCUCGGCUUGAGAUAGAUUGGCAGCGAAUCCGUUGAAGCUCCUUUUAUAGCUUCUAAUCAACAAAUUCGAUGCAGCACUGAAAGGAAGAACCAGGGACAAAGAAUAAAUCUUGAUCCUUUUAUAAAAAUUACAUAUGUAAAAUAUUGUUUUGAAUACGGUCAAGAAUAAUUAAAGAGGUUGAAUCUUACUUAGUGCCAACAAGUUUUUGGAGCAUACUGAGAUGGUGAGAUGGUGGUGAGUACUCAAUCUCAGGAAGUGUUCCCAUAUACACGAUAUACACCUGCAUACAUGUGUGUAAAAAAAAGAGACAGAGAGAGAGACAAGUAUUAUAAGGUGUUUUGUUCAAAUGUGUAUCUCACAAAAAGAGAGUACAAACUUGAACUUGCCUGUCUAUUAUCAUUUGCAGACACAUCUCUGGUGAACAUGAAUGCUAAACAAAUGAAGAAGAGAGAUGUAGAAAGCUUAGCCAUUUUGUGAAACUCUAAACGAGAGAGCAAAGUUGGGAUUGUGAUUGAGAGGACGAAAUGUGUUAUAUAAAAAUUUAUUUUGAAAAAGCACUUUCAAAUUCAUUGAAUGUGUUAAAAUUGAGAAAUCUUUCAAUGAAUUUAAUUAUUAUAUUUGGCUAAAAAAAUCUAAUUUUUGGUUUGGGUCAAUAUUCCACACAAAUUGAAGGAAUGACCUUCAAUACUCAAUAGUCAAAGAGGUCUUACCAAAAAACAAAUGGGAAAAAUGUCGUUAAAAUCCCCAAUUUAUUCAAAACGUUGAUUUAAAUCCUCAACUCAUGACGAAACGAAAUAAAUAUCAAACUUAUGUUGACUUUCCAAAUAAAUAUUAAACUUAUGUUGACUUUCCAAAUAAACAUCAAACUUUCAUUGACUUUCCAAAUAAAUAUCAAACUUCCGUUGACCUGACCAUAUUAGGUAUGACGUUAAGUGGGUUAAUAAAUCCUCAACUCAUGACAAAACGAAAUAAAUAUCAAACUUAUGUUGACUUUCUAAAUAAAUAUCAAACUUAUGUUGACUUUCCAAAUAAAUAUCAAACUUCCGUUGACCUGGCCAUAUUAGGUACGACGUUAAGUGGGUUAAUAGAUCUCGUUAACGGAGGUAAUUUUCUGUUAACAUAUAUGUUAAUUGAUAACGACAUUGUUUCAUAUAACAACAAAAUGACGUCGUUUUGUCGUAACGAUUGAAUUAAAUCCCUAAAGUCAAUCUUAGAUCCCCAAAUCAAGCAAAAUCCCUAACCCUAAAUAGAGUAUGAUUUGAAACUCGGGAUUUUAUUGAACAUUUACGACAAAACAACGUCGUUUUAUGUUUAGAAGGAAUACUUGUUAGUGUUUUGAUCAACAAACGAACUCUGUUUUAACAGAGUAUGAAGAACAAAACCAAAAUGAAAAAUAGAGUAUGAAGAAACUUGAUCUUUAUUGAUAAGAUAAAAUGUAUUACACACAAUGAUGUUAAUCGAAAAGACACAACUUUACGAACAGAUACAACUAUACGUACGUACAUUCGUGACUCUUACGUAAAUAACUAACUUAUAUGAAUACGACUUUAGGUUAUAUGACUUAGAUGAGAUUUGAUUAUAGUUCAACAAUACUGUCAUUUUUAAUUAGCGGGUCUGUUAACAGAAAAUUAAUCCUGUUAACAUUGUCUGUUAACUCACUUAACGUCAUGCCUAAUAUGGCCAAGUCAAUGAAAGUUUGGUGUUUAUUUGGAAAAUCAACAUAAGUUUAAUAUUUAUUUGGAAAGUCAACAUAAGUUUGAUAUUUAUUUCGUUUCGUCGUGAGUUGAAGAUUUAAAUCAACGUUUUGAAUAAGUUGGGGAUUUUAAUGACAUUUUUCCCAAAUCCUAUUAGGUCUUACCAACUCUCCAUAGCAUAAUCAAAUCUACACUUGGUAAACAGAACCAAAAUGGAGGACUCUACUAUAUAUUUACAUAAACAACAGUUUCAAUAUAUUCCAUGAUAUAUGAAAUAAUAUAACUAUCAAUGAAACAUCCAUUCAAUUUCAAAUUAUACAAUUUUCAUUGAGACAUGUAGAAUUUGUUCCACCACUUGGUACUAUAUUGUUCUCAACCGAAACAGUGAUGACACCAUUUUUGAACAAAUACAAAGUUCACUAAACUGGCAUUUAAGUUAAAUCCCCACAAGCUUGGUUCCAAUCUUUCCGGAUAAAACAGAUCCAAACUUCAACUAUAAUACAACUUUAUCACAAGGCAACAUUCUCUGUAAAAGAAACAAGACCAAAAUCGAAAUCUGCUUGAAACUUUUAUGCCGCUGCAGGAUCGUUUAUGACUCCCAAAAAAUCGUCUUUGAUGGUACCCACACAAAACUGCAAAAUCAAAGACAAAUGUGCAAAUUGAUUAGAAUAAAGCCAAAAAGCACACAACAGCUCAAGCUAACCAUAGAAACCAAGAAAUCUAACUAUAAGUUGAAUUGUGAAUUAGAGAGUUAUGGAGAUUGUGCAUACAAUCUCAGUGGCAUCAACUCUUGUUCCAAUAAUCUUUAGUCUCACUUCACAUUCCUUCUGGAUCUUAACCUGCAAGAAGCAUUGGAAAAAUUGAGUUUCUUGAAGAUAGAUGAAACACAGAUAAUACUGUUGGAAAUAAGAAAUAGAGAAAGAAACACACUGAUCCAUCUGAUGUGGUAUAAUUAGGCAUGUCUCCAGCUUGAAACUCCAUAUCAUCUGGAAUCAACUGUGGUGAUAAAAGAAGAGGAGAGUAAAAGUGAGUACAAAACACCUAGAACAAUAUGAACUCGAGGUCAAAUUCAUGAUGUAAGAUCAUAAGCUUACAUGCUUAGACACAAAAAUCUGAACAGGGCCAGCUUCAGCGAAGAAUCCCAUCUACGAUAUAUUAGGAAAAUCCAUAAGGUUUAAGAGACUGAUUAGUAACUAAAGACAUUGGACUAUAUAAAACUAUAUACAAUACCUUAUUGACCAAAGUGACAACAGCUUCCAAAAUCUCGCCUUUGAAAGGUCUGAAAACAACGCAUUGGUAUUUAACUGGAAAGGUGACAAAACCAGUCCCAUCUCUGAUCAAACCCUUUCCUAUGCUUUCAAUUCCAGUUAUCGCCACUACAAAUCCAUGACGGCCACUGUCCAUACCACAAAACAAAAAGCAUCAAUAUGACAUUGCAAAUGAUGAAUUUCACAUCUUAAAUAUAAACCAAAGACAAAGCUAGAGGCUUCAAAUACUAAUCUCUGUCACAAGCAAUGGAUUAAGCAAACUAUACUAAAGAACAAAGUUUUCGAAUACAAAACAAGAUACUGGAUCUGAAAGACUAGCAAGCAGACAUCUAAGUGAGCUGCGAUGGAUGAACUUUCAUAUCUUAAUCCUAAGAAAGCUAAAGGCUUCAGAACAAAUCCCUUAAGAUUAAAGAUUCUGCUUAAAAAAUCAGACUUUAGUUACAAGCAGCAGAGAAAGACUCCAAAUUUAGCUAAAAGAAGGAUCUUUUUUCGAAUUGAAUCCACUCUAAUCCCUAAAACCUAACCAAUUGAACUAGACGGAGGUUAGGGUUUCGAAAAAAUAUGCAAUUUUUUUUAUAAAGGUGUCUUAUGGAAAACGAAUCCGAAUUGAGGAUUGAGGAAAAGGGUUUCCGAUUAAAGCAUCCCAAAUUGUUGAUUUUCUCUACGAUAAGUGGAAUAGAGAAAAAACCUGCAAGUGCCUUCGACAUCUUUCAUGAGUUUAGAUACGAGGUUUUCACGAAGGUUUCGACCAAAGAAACGAGGAUGCAACUGCAUGUUCCGCUCCAAUACUAUGUGGAAGAACAUCUCGACUUCUCUCUCUCUCUCUCUUGCUCUCUGAACUCUCUCUGUCUCUGAGGCUUGUUAAUGUGUCUUAUUGAGCAAUUUAGUUUUGAGUUCCAAUUCGCUCUGGUUAUAAAACCUGCCCAAUGGUAGUUUUCUGUCAACCGUCGGAUCUCGACAAAUCUGAACGGCCCAGAUUGCUUGAUAAGUUUCCCUUUUUUUAUAUAAUUAAAUUGUUUUCCUUUUUUCCUAACUCUUUUUUUUUUCUUGACCAAUUACGUUUUAAUUUUGUUUUUUUAACGCACUUAACAAAUUCAGAACUAAAUAAUGAGAUUUGAUGCGUAUUUAAUUCUUAAUCAUGUUGCUGUAAUGAAAUCAUAUUCUUCAAGAAACAGAACAGUUUAUUCUUUAUUUGAUGCAUCAUAAGAAAAAGAAAGAACAUAACAGAAAGAACAGAACAGUUUUUAACUAAGACAGAUACUUAUACACGAAGUCACGAACACGUCCUUGUUUGGUUCUGACUUCUGAGUAACUAUGGAUCAACCGGAGGAUAUCCGCCGUAAGGUGGAGGUGUUAAGUGAUAUGAUGGCGGUGGAUACUUCUUAUAUGGUGGCGACGGAUACACAACCGGUGGAGGAUAUUUCUUGAUCGGGGGAAAAGGGUAAUGUACCGGCGGAGGAGGACAUUCCUUCGGAGGAGGAUACGUCUUGAUCGGCGGAUGAGGGUAAGUCUUGUACGGAGGUGGUGGAUACUUCACCGGCGGAUGAGGGUAAGUCUUGAUCGGCGGUGGAUACUUCACCGGUGGAUGAGGGUAAGUCGGCGGUGGAUACUUCUUGAUCGGCGGUGGAUACUGUUCUGGGGGAGGAUACUUCACCGGCGGAUGAGGGUAAGUUUUGAUCGGCGGAGGAUAUUUCACCGGCGGAUGAGGGUAAGUUUUGAUCGGCGGAGGAUACUUCACCGGCGGAUGAGGGUAAGUUUUGAUCGGCGGAGGAUACUUCACCGGCGGAUGAGGGUAAGUUUUGAUCGGCGGUGGAUGAGGGUAAGUCUCGUACGGCGACGGUGGGUACUUCUUGAUCGGCGGUGGAUAUUGUUCUGGCGGAGGAUACUUCUUGAUCGGCGGUGGAUAUUGUUCUGGCGGAGGAUACUUCUUGAUCGGCGGUGGAUAUUGUUCUGGUGGAGGAUACGUAGUUGGCGGAGGUGUAGGUAAUGAUGAAACCAAUUAGAAAAGGAGUUUGUAGAAGAAGAAGAGGCCAAACACAAACUAAAAAUGCUUCCUUGUGUUACCAACACUGCGAGAGCAAAAGUAGCUACAAAAGACUUCAUUUUUCUUCUUCUUGUUGUUGUGAAUAGCAAGUUAAAAAACGGGUUUUAUAAAUAAACAGAGGACUCGAGACUCUACACUACACAUUGCAGUGACAUUGCCACAUUGCAUAAACCUCACAGCUGGUUUUAAAACCCUAAAUCCAGGAAAGCAAAGUGACAGGCUUUUAGAUCCAUGCACGUCCAAAGUUUGACAGUUUCAUAUAGAACCAGGGCUUUGACCUUUUAGUCAACUUGUAUUCGCUUUUUCGCAGAAUCUCUCCAAUUGUCAAGUAAUUUGCAGCG